UUUGAGUAUCUGGAUGUGUGUUGGGGUAUCUGGGUGUAUGUUGGGGUAUCUGGGUGUGUGUUGGGGUAUCUGGUUGCGUGUUGGGGUAUCUGUGUGUGUGUUGGGGUAUCUGGGUGUGUGUUGGGGUAUCUGGGUGUGUGUUGGGGUAUCUGGGUGUGUGUUGGGGUAUCUGGGUGUGUGUUGGGGUAUCUGGGUGUGUGUUGGGUAUCUGGGUGUGUGUUGGGGUAUCUGGGUGUGUGUUGGGUAUCUGGGUGUAAAAGUCGAGAUUUCUGUAAAUGUACAGUAACUUGUUUGUGUUUAAAUAAACAUUAAAACAGAACAAUGACAGAAAGAGUGAAAUAAACAGUAAUAAAUAUAAUAAAUGUGACGUUAUGCUGGAUGGAGGU
ensembl:lncRNA